GGUCGAGCAAGUCUCGUAAAUUUCGCGAUUGCGAGCCACGCUUCACGCAACCGUGUUUGCGUACUUGUGUUUCGAGUUGCGUGGUCGUGCGGAGUUAUAUUUACCAAAUUUAAAUGUAAUCCUUUCUACUGAUAAUAAUAUACUAUUCUCAAUAUGGCUACUGGGUGUAAAAGAUAAAUCUUAUUCUAUCUGUUCUUCAUGAGUUUUAGAUAAUUUUAGUUGUAUUUCUUUGUAAUUUUGUGUUGUACAAAGAUUAAUUUAACAUUUUCUCUGGAAGUAUUAAUUUAGAAAGAUAAUAUGCUUCAUUGGUGUUGUGUUUUGAAGUGUGAAAUGCAAAGUAAUUGUGAUAAAGUCAAGAUAAAGUUCACUUUUAAACUGAACUAAAUAAGGUAUCUGAGAGACAACAAUGGUUAAAUGCAAUACAAUGUACAGGUUUUACUAGCGAAAUGAAAAUUUUCCUGUCCUGUCUGCUGUAAUCAUUUUAUAUCUGGAAAAUAGGAAAACCAGCCGACUUAAUCGAUAAUAACAAUCUCCAGAUUGGGUUCCUUCAAUAAAUAUGGGCUAUAAACACAAUGAAAUAAGUUCCCCAAAAUCUAAAAUGGAGUGCUAUCAAAGGAGAAUUAAAGGAAAAAAUAUUCAUAUUGAAAUUAUUUAUAAGGCACUGGACUGUCUUAAAUUCUACAAUAAUACUAGAAUCAGCUGAGAGAAGUGGUCUACAAAAAACCAGGAAGGAAACGGAAUAUGUGGCUACGAAAGGCAAAAGAAAGGUUUACAAAGCAAAUGUGAUACAUUUUUUUGAAAUAUUUAGGAAUAUCAGUAAAUUGCAUUAAAAAAUGUAUGAAAAGAUUUUGUUCAAUAAAAAUGUUUAUAUUUAUCAAGGAUGUAUUAUUUGGUAUGGCCACA